rnacentral:sRNA from 1 species
GGGACGCAUAAAGAUGAGACGCGUUUUAGAGCUAGAAAUAGCAAGUUAAAAUAAGGCUAGUCCGUUAUCAACUUGAAAAAGUGGCACCGAGUCGGUGCUUUU